GGGUUGUGAGGUUAAGCGACUAAGCGUACACGGUGGAUGCCCUGGCAGUCAGAGGCGAUGAAGGGCGUGCUAAUCUGCGAUAAGCGCCGGUAAGGUGAUAUGAACCGUUAUAACCGGCGAUACCCGAAUGGGGAAACCCAGUGUGAUUCGUCACACUAUCAUUAACUGAAUCCAUAGGUUAAUGAGGCGAACCGGGGGAACUGAAACAUCUAAGUACCCCGAGGAAAAGAAAUCAACCGAGAUUCCCCCAGUAGCGGCGAGCGAACGGGGAGGAGCCCAGAGCCUGAAUCAGCAUGUGUGUUAGUGGAAGCGUCUGGAAAGGCGCGCGAUACAGGGUGACAGCCCCGUACACAAAAGCGCAUGUGCUGUGAGCUCGAUGAGUAGGGCGGGACACGUGGUAUCCUGUCUGAAUAUGGGGGGACCAUCCUCCAAGGCUAAAUACUCCUGACUGACCGAUAGUGAACCAGUACCGUGAGGGAAAGGCGAAAAGAACCCCGGCGAGGGGAGUGAAAAAGAACCUGAAACCGUGUACGUACAAGCAGUGGGAGCACCCUUUGGGGUGUGACUGCGUACCUUUUGUAUAAUGGGUCAGCGACUUAUAUUCUGUAGCAAGGUUAACCGUAUAGGGGAGCCGAAGGGAAACCGAGUCUUAACCGGGCGUUAAGUUGCAGGGUAUAGACCCGAAACCCGGUGAUCUAGCCAUGGGCAGGUUGAAGGUUGGGUAACACUAACUGGAGGACCGAACCGACUAAUGUUGAAAAAUUAGCGGAUGACCUGUGGCUGGGGGUGAAAGGCCAAUCAAACCGGGAGAUAGCUGGUUCUCCCCGAAAGCUAUUUAGGUAGCGCCUCGUGAAUUCAUCUCCGGGGGUAGAGCACUGUUUCGGCUAGGGGGCCAUCCCGGCUUACCAACCCGAUGCAAACUGCGAAUACCGGAGAAUGUUAUCACGGGAGACACACGGCGGGUGCUAACGUCCGUCGUGAAGAGGGAAACAACCCAGACCGCCAGCUAAGGUCCCAAAGUCAUGGUUAAGUGGGAAACGAUGUGGGAAGGCCCAGACAGCCAGGAUGUUGGCUUAGAAGCAGCCAUCAUUUAAAGAAAGCGUAAUAGCUCACUGGUCGAGUCGGCCUGCGCGGAAGAUGUAACGGGGCUAAACCAUGCACCGAAGCUGCGGCAGCGAACGUAUCACUUAAAGCGAUUCAGCGGGUUACGAUUGACGGAGCGAAGCGACGUCAAAGCGUAUACAAAGUCGAGUCGGUUUAAGGAUACGUUCGUUGGGUAGGGGAGCGUUCUGUAAGCCUGUGAAGGUGUGUCGUGAGGCAUGCUGGAGGUAUCAGAAGUGCGAAUGCUGACAUAAGUAACGAUAAAGCGGGUGAAAAGCCCGCUCGCCGGAAGACCAAGGGUUCCUGUCCAACGUUAAUCGGGGCAGGGUGAGUCGACCCCUAAGGCGAGGCCGAAAGGCGUAGUCGAUGGGAAACGGGUUAAUAUUCCCGUACUUGGUGUUACUGCGAAGGGGGGACGGAGAAGGCUAUGUUGGCCGGGCGACGGUUGUCCCGGUUUAAGCGUGUAGGUGUGUGUUCCAGGUAAAUCCGGUUCACUUUAACACUGAGG
rnacentral:rRNA from 2 species